rnacentral:rRNA from 1 species
UACGGAGGAUGCGAGCGUUAUCCGGAUUUAUUGGGUUUAAAGGGUGCGUAGGCGGACUGUCAGUCAGCGGUAAAAUUGAGAGGCUCAACCUCUUCCCGCCGUUGAAACUGGUGGUCUUGAGUGGAUGAGAAGUACGCGGAAUGCGUGGUGUAGCGGUGAAAUGCAUAGAUAUCACGCAGAACUCCGAUUGCGAAGGCAGCGUACCGGCAUCCAACUGACGCUGAGGCACGAAAGCGUGGGGAUCAAACAGG